AUAGAUGUGAUGAACAAGAGGAGUAUUUUAACUUUAGUUUUAAAAGAGACUUAGUGGGUGGUGAAAACUAAGAAACUAGUUAAUUGAAGGUUACUUGGGAGCAUAAACCGUAUAAUCGCGUUAAGAUUUAGAGUGUAUGAUUAGUCAUAAAGUAAGAUGGUACCACGGGUUUUCUCGUUCUUACG
rnacentral:ncRNA from 1 species